AUUCGGAUCUCUAUCUUGGUGAUACGAAGAUCAAGUGUGCAUGAUCUUGAAUCAAUCCUAUAAAAGAAAAGCUAAAGAUGAUGAUGUUGUUAGAGGUUCUUCGGAGUUGCAAUAACAUAAGCAUGUUGUAUUGUCGGCCACCUUAAUUUCGAGUUUUUUCUGCUUCGUCGUUGUCUUCUUCUCUCACGACACUUAUCAACAUAAACAGCAACUUAUGUCUCUACUAUGUUUUGAUCCUUAGUACCCCAAAAAUAUUAUUUUAAAGCAAAUCAACAUAAUCUUAAUCAAAUGUCUCUCUUUUCAUUAUUCAUAACAUUUUUUUUAGUCUUUAAAACCACGCGCCUUAAUGUCAAACAG